rnacentral:rRNA from 1 species
GGUUAAGUUAAUAAGGGCGCACGGUGGAUGCCUAGGCACUAGGAGCCGAUGAAGGACGUGACGAACGACGACAUGCUUUGGGGAGCUGUAAGUAAGCCUUGAUCCAGAGAUA